CUGGAUCUAUAACAUGAAAGCUCGUCGAAUCAGUCUAUUUUGGUAGCGAGUUUUACUCGUGUUAAAAUAUGACUUGCAUAAAUAACAAAUUCGACUCGGCGUUAUAGGUAAACAGACAUGUUCUUUGAUUUCAGUACUUCUAGUACGGCAUGCUAUGAGCAUUGUUGGCGUCACAUGAGUAACUAAUACCUAAACAGUAUUAGUUUUAUUCAUGUCGAUGCCUAAUGUUUUGUGGCUGUCAAUGAAAUCGGUAAGUCUACAGGAGUUUUGAAUGCCGAGUUAUUCGACCCGUCUUGAAACACGGUCUAAGGAGUUCACUGCAUGUGCAAGAGUUCGGCUGUAUGAAAAGCCUUGCUCGUAAUGAAAGUAAAGAACAUUCUUGCAAUGUUUGAAGUGUGAUUUCUGUCAUCUGGUGCAAAUCAUGACAAUGAACGCAACACUGACAGGUUCUAUUGCCGCUGGCAAAGAGCUUAGUAAGAGUAUAUGCAAUGAGACCCGAAAGAUGGUGAACUUAAUGUGUGUAGAAUGAAGCCAGGGGAAACCCUGGUGGAAGUUCGUAGCGGUUCUGACGUGCAAAUCGAUCGUCAAA
rnacentral:rRNA from 1 species